rnacentral:rRNA from 1 species
UACAGGGGGUGCAAACGUUGCUCGGAAUCAUUGGGCGUAAAGCGCACGUAGGCGGUCUGUUAUGUCGGAUGUGAAAGCCCUUGGCUCAACUGAGGAAGUGCAUCCGAAACUGGCAGGCUAGAGUACUAAAGAGGAUCGCGGAAUUCCCGGUGUAGAGGUGAAAUUCGUAGAUAUCGGGAGGAACACCAGUGGCGAAGGCGACUACCUGGCCUGUUCUUGACGCUGAGGCGCGAAAGCUAGGGGAGCAAACGGG